CUAGGACAACUACAGCCCUGGUAGGUCAUCCCGUCACCAUCUAAUACUAGGACAACUACAGCCCUGGUAGGUCAUCCCGUCACCAUCUAAUACUAGGACAACUACAGCCCUGGUAGGUCAUCCCGUCACCAUCUAAUACUAGGACAACUACAGCCCUGGUAGGUCAUCCCGUCACCAUCUAAUACUAGGACAACUACAGCCCUGGUAGGUCAUCCCGUCACCAUCUAAUACUAGGACAACUACAGCCCUGGUAGGUCAUCCCGUCACCAUCUAAUACUAGGACAACUACAGCCCUGGUAGGUCAUCCCGUCACCAUC